rnacentral:rRNA from 1 species
AGUGAACGCUGGCGGUAGGCCUAACACAUGCAAGUCGAACGGCAGCACAGUAAGAGCUUGCUCUUACGGGUGGCGAGUGGCGGACGGGUGAGGAAUACAUCGGAAUCUACUUUUUCGUGGGGGAUAACGUAGGGAAACUUACGCUAAUACCGCAUACGACCUACGGGUGAAAGCAGGGGAUCUUCGGACCUUGCGCGAUUGAAUGAGCCGAUGUCGGAUUAGAUAGUUGGGGGGGUAACGGCCCACCAAGGCCACGAUCCGUAGCAGGUCUGAGAGGAUGAUCAGCCACACUGGAACUGAGACACGGUCCAGACUCCUACGGGAGGCAGCAGUGGGGAAUAUUGGACAAUGGGCGCAAGCCUGAUCCAGCCAUACCGCGUGGGUGAAGAAGGCCUUCGGGUUGUAAAGCCCUUUUGUUGGGAAAGAAAAGCAGCAGGUUAAUACCCCGCUGUUCUGACGGUACCCAAAGAAUAAGCACCGGCUAACUUCGUG